UGAAGCCGGAAUUGCUAGUAAUGGCAGGUCAGCAUACUGCCGUGAAUACGUUCCCGGGCCUUGUACACACCGCCCGUCACACCAUGAGAGUUGGGAAUACCCGAAGCCUGUGAGCUAACUAAUAGAGGCAGCAGUCGAAGGUAGAAUCAAUGAUUGGGGUGAAGUCGUAACAAGGUAGC
rnacentral:rRNA from 1 species